rnacentral:rRNA from 1 species
UACGGGGGGAGCAAGCGUUGUUCGGAAUUACUGGGCGUAAAGGGCUCGUAGGUGGCCAACUAAGUCAGACGUGAAAUCCCUCGGCUUAACCGGGGAACUGCGUCUGAUACUGGAUGGCUUGAGUUCGGGAGAGGGAUGCGGAAUUCCAGGUGUAGCGGUGGAAUGCGUAGAUAUCUGGAGGAACACCGGUGGCGAAGGCGGCAUCCUGGGCCUGUACUGACGCUCAUGCACGAAAGCGUGGGGAGCAAACAGG